rnacentral:sRNA from 2 species
CUAAGGCUGGCAGUGUGUCGUCAAAAGCAUCGGGACAGAUUGGCGGACCGUUGAAAUCUCCAAUUGCGCCUCUAACCAAGACCACGUCAGGGAUGGCCGACCCGACGGUGACUGAAAUAAACGUGAACGCCAUGAAGGAUAUUCCGUUUCACAGUAGAAGGGGCUCAGGAAGCAUCGCAUCUAGUAUUAUGCAGAAUGUCGAUUCUGUCAGUUCAGAGAGACGGGAUAGUUCGCUUCAUACUACGACGAGCCAGUCACAGUCACAACAGGAGUCAGCACCGAGUAGGCAGUCGUAUUCGCCAGUUUUAAUAGCAAGACAUAACAACAGUGAAUCUUUUCGAGAGACUCGCUUGCCGGAAAGUGUUCCCAUGGAACGCGCAGCGUCUCCAAAAUUGCAGUCUGCCAUCGAAGAUCGACAUGCCUUAGCUGAACUGGAUACAUCUUUCUCAAGAUCUGCUUGGAAAACAUCGAUUGAUGGAACGAACGAUACACAUCCUUCUCGUAGAGACUGCCAACCUGGAAACUCUAACAAAUCCAUCUCGAAUGAUUAUUCACCAGCUCCAACUUCCAUCACUAACAGCGUUUCAAAACUCUCAACCACGGAUAGUUCCAUCCACGAAGGCAAAACACCUACAACACUAGCAACAUCGCUAACCAUGACAGACAAGGAGCAAUCAUCCACGCAC